GCUUUAAUAGUUUAACUAACAAAACAUUGGUCUUGUAAACCAAAAAUGAAUUAAUUCUCAAAGCACCA
rnacentral:tRNA from 1 species